UCUAAAAGCAUGAAGUAUUGUACGACACAUCCUUUACAAAUAUUUAGACAUAUUUUGUGUAAUAUCCAUUUUUUCCGGUUAUUCUAAAUAAUUAUUACCGAUUAGAUAUUCUGUCAAGUGUCAAUAUUACCAUUGUAAGUUUAAUGAUAUAUACCAUUUUUAUAAUAGGCCCUAUGACAAUGGACUGGAAAAUUCACCUGCUUCAAUUCCCUCUUUCACGCAAUCAUACACUGUGUCGUUUCAAGCAUCUCAAUGUUUCAAUGCGGACAAUGCCCAAAACAGCUGUUUUUGUUUUAUAGUUUGAUAGUAGCUCCUUUCAUAUCUGUGCCAUAAAAUAUUGCACAAUAGCUAAAUAUAUCGGUUGAAUAAUUACCUAGUACAACAUCAUGUGGUUAAUACCUCAUUUUCCGGCGAAUAAGUCGCUUUUCUAGACACAAAUUUUUGGCUUGAUUUUGGGGGAGGUCGUCUUAUUAGGCGAGUAUGAUCAUUUUCAUUUUUUUGUCGCCUUAUUGUUGAAUUCGGACAAUAAAAUACCUUCGGCGAUAGCAUCCCCCACGUCCUCAUCAGGUUAGUUUAAAUAAAUCGACAUUCUCGUGCUGUGAAUCUGAAAUUUCCAUGCUGUGAUUAUCAUAUUUGCAUUAUCAUAUAUGGAUUGAAUAUUACGCUACAAAAAAAAGUCAUAGGCUAUUUCAACCAAUGCGCAAACGCGGCGACCGCUCGAAAGGCAUUGCAUGGUAAUUUGAGAUUCCCGAUGUUGAUGCGAUUUUACUACCCCGACUUAUUGGCCGGUUAUAUGCAAAAACCCAUUUUUCUAGGCUUAAAAACAGGCCUCGUCUUAUUCGCCGGGUAGACUUAUUCGCUGGAAAAUACGGUAAUUAAUAUUAAUGAAAAAUUUAUAUUCUGGUAAUUAGUAUAGGCCAUCCGUUCUCGUUUAUCAUCUGAAAGACAAUUAUGUACUAUAUAUUGGGUAACACUAACUUGAUUUAACAUGAACUAACAGUCCAUGGAAAAAUUGUUGGGACAGGCGGUAGAAACUCUUAUGCUACAAGCUACGGCAUCUGCAACUUUCCACUGAUUAUAGUGUGGACUCGGACAUACAGGAAUUGAUGAAAUUCAUUGUCUGAUUACAUUUUGAUCCAGAAUACAUUCAAGGAUGAAAAAAUGGCUCAUAAGAUAUUUGUCAAGUCUCGGAGGUUGCUCCAAGAAAGACUGGAUUGGAGAAUCAUGAGCUCAGUUAUAACAAAUUUACUCGCCCACUCUUUUAACUGUGCAGGAAGCGGUGGAUAAGAAGGAGUGAGUGGGACGCCCUUAGUUUCUGCUAUUAAAGCUCUGGAUGAUCUGGCAACGAACUCCGAUUAAAUUUAUUACAUGUAUACAUAUUUGUAAAAUAAAGACAUUUUGUUA